rnacentral:rRNA from 1 species
CCUACGAGAGGCAGCAGUGGGGAAUAUUGGACAAUGGGGGGAACCCUGAUCCAGCGACGCCGCGUGAGUGAAGAAGUAUUUCGGUAUGUAAAGCUCUAUCAGCAGGGAAGAAAGAAAUGACGGUACCUGACUAAGAAGCCGCGGCUAACUACGUGCCAGCAGCCGCGGUAAUACGUAGGGGGCAAGCGUUAUCCGGAUUUACUGGGUGGAAAGGGAGCGUAGACGGCGAUGCAAGUCUGAAGUGAAAGGCUGGGGCCUAACCUCCGGACUGCUUUGGAAACUGUAUGGCUGGAGUGCAGAAGAGGUAAGUGGAAUUCCUAGUGUAGCGGUGAAAUGCGUAGAUAUUAGGAGGAACACCAGUGGCGAAAGCGGCUUACUGGACUGUAACUGACGUUGAGGCUCGAAAGCGUGGGGAGCAAACAGGAUUAGAUACCCUAGUAGUC